AGAUGUUUUGGGACUACAAUUCCCAUCAUCCCUGACCACUGGUCCUCUUAGCUAGGGAUGAUGGGAGUUGUAGCCCCAGAACAUCU